GAUGAACGCUGGCGGCGUGCCUAAUACAUGCAAGUCGAGCGAACGGACGAGAAGCUUGCUUCUCUGAUGUUAGCGGCGGACGGGUGAGUAACACGUGGAUAACCUACCUAUAAGACUGGGAUAACUUCGGGAAACCGUAGCUAAUACCGGAUAAUAUUUUGAACCGCAUGGUUCAAAAGUGAAAGACGGUCUUGCUGUCACUUAUAGAUGGAUCCGCGCUGCAUUAGCUAGUUGGUAAGGUAACGGCUUACCAAGGCAACGAUGCAUAGCCGACCUGAGAGGGUGUACGGCCACACUGGAACUGAGACACGGUCCAGACUCCUACGGGAGGCAGCAGUAGGGAAUCUUCCGCAAAGGGCGAAAGCCUGACGGAGCAACGCCGCGUGAGUGAUGAAGGUCUUCGGAUCGUAAAACUCUGUUAUUAGGGAAGAACAUAUGUGUAAGUAACUGUGCACAUCUUGACGGUACCUAAUCAGAAAGCCACGGCUAACUACGUG
rnacentral:rRNA from 1 species